rnacentral:antisense_RNA from 1 species
UUUGGAGAGAAGAGGGGAGUGAGGCGGUGUGUGCUUGGGGCUGGUGUUUGUCAGUGUGAGCGUGUAAGAGCACACCUGCAUUCAAGGGGGUUUGUAGUGUCCGUGCGACAUCUGAGGGAGAAUCGACGGGAUUUCUCUGGCUGUCGUUUGCGCUGCAUUUAUCCGAAUAAAUCCAGCUCGCAAGCAUCCUGCAAGAAACGGCUCCCGGCUCGCGUGUACACCGACACCUCGGCCCAACGCAGGACUCGAGGUGGCUUCUAGUGCCCGGGUGGCUGCAAGUCUGGCCUCCGAAGGAGGCUGGACAAGCGGCGCCCCCAGGUCGAGCGGCCUCUCGUUGCCUGGCAGUGCCUGGCAGCCCCCCCUCUGCCGGUGCUUCAGCAACCCUCCUGGCCAGGUUCGCCCGCGGUGAAAAAUGAAAGCAAAUUCCCCAACAAAGGUAGCCGGAACUUUCCUCGACGAAGGCUCCCUCCUGCGCCUGUGUCUCGGAGAACCCCCAGAGGGCUGCAAGUUAGCAAGAGAGAUUCGAUGACGGCUCUGGAAGGCGCGCGAAGGGUGGGGCG